AUGACCAAUGUGGAGGUGGAACUGGACUGUCAGGUGCUUGUCAACGCUCUAAGAAGCCCUGAAGCUGAUCUCGCCUGGGAAGGAAUCCUGUUUCGGGAGAUACGGACCUUCGCUCAGCUGAACUUCAACAGAAUUAAUUUCUCUUUUGCCCCGAGGGCGUGUAAUCAUCUCGCUCAUGCUUUAGCUGCCUUUGGUGCUAGGCGUCAAAUAAUCCAGGAGGUUUGGUCGGAGGACCUGCCAAAUGAUGUAAAUGUGCGAUCGGCCAGCAACUUGGCUGGACCUGGUUAA
rnacentral:rRNA from 1 species